UUUGCAGAGCGUAUCACUCCGCCGUCCAUAGCAACGCCGUUGCUAAGGACGACGUUUUCGCGGGCGGCGGGCUGAAAUUUCAUCCGAGUUGUUGACAGCCGAUUACAUCACCAGUUUCGGCCUCUGCGUCAAGAUGGCGAUUAUCAUAGGCUUCACAGUCUAGAUUGGUAAAAGCCACACCCAGUGGGAUUGUCACCAGCAGGACACCAGGAUGUUAUAUUGUUUAUUUAGCUUGAGAUUAUGGAUAUAUAUAUAAGAUGUAUUAUGUAUUGAGAUCUUAAUUUCCAUCUAUUCUGUUUAUUGUAAUCUUAAUACAAUUUGGGAUCAUAUUUAAUAGUCGAUUCAGCAUUCAAUGUCUACUGUAACUUUUGAGCAUGUGUUAAGUAAUAUAUGUACUGUAAAAGAUGUACUAUGUAUACAUGUAAUGAUCCCAAGUAUUUGAUAUCCCAGUCCACAACAAAAUGUACAUCAUCAUCAUCAUCAAAAUGUACUACUUUGUUUUUUGUUUGGUAAUGAGAUAAAGGUUGAAGCAACGUUAAUGGCUCUUGGGUAAUUUUGUGUAUAAUUGUUAGGAUGUAUGUGAGAGAGUUAUGUUUAGGGAUUUGAUAACACCCAGCAC